rnacentral:lncRNA from 1 species
CCUGGCGCGAGUCCUCUCUGUUAGCCUCCAGCAGCCCCUGUUGCUAGGCCCCAUUAUAGCAGCAGGCAGCGACCUAUUGGUCAGCCAGGCCUGGUUCAAUAAUGUCACCAUGAUGUCAGAGGCGGGGGGGGGGCAGGAACCCACCCCCAGUGGCUGGGGAGGUCACCGCCUGGUCACACUGGGCCCUCGGUCCCCCGGUGCACUGAGAUCAACCUGCCUGAAAGAAGAUUCCAUUUCCUGGUCACUCAUUGGCCCUUCUAUGUGGACGUCACACACACCCUGGCGUCGCGGUUUAGCUUGGCCGGGGAUGGCUGGGAUCCAAGGAAGAGGGCUUGGUGUAAAACUACCCUCAAGGUCCCCACCAGUGCCACCCUGACUGGCCCUAGCCAGGACUCGAGGACCAUGGUGACUCAGGGUAGCAGCUACACCGGACAGAGGGCCCAGCCUCCCUCCACCUCCUGCACAACUUGUCUUCUUCUGCCCACCCCAGCCUGUGUUCCUCAGUCCCCACAGGUGGGACCCCGUACAGCACCUCUCUCCACCCUGCAACCCUCCUCUGUGUUAUGACCUUUAAAGUAGCAUCGGGGUGACAAAGAGGGAGACCCACGUUGAGCCGCACAGGCUCCCAGACUGAGAAGCACAGGUUUCACGGUGCCCUGGAACCCACGUAUCCACUCCUGAAGCGUGUUAGUCCAGGCUCCAGCUCUGAGCCCCAGAGGUGCAGCAAACCCAGGCACUGCCCUGGGGACUCCGGGCCAGGGGCCCAGACAGAGUGCAGGGUGCCUGCGCGUUCGCAUCCAUGGCUUCGGAGAGGCCACACCCCGCCUCCUGCCAAGCCCCCUCUUUCCCCUCCACCCAUCAAACAGUGCACAGCUCUCAGGCCCCAUCCUGGGCCGGGUGCCUGGAACACAGCAAAGACCAAGACAGCACCCAGCUCUGUCCCGGGGCUUCAGCAUUCAGCGGGGUUGUGGGAGCCAUCGCUAGAUAAUGCAGCAGACUGGGCUGGGGGCCCCUGCAGGGGCCUGGGAACACAGAGUGGGUGCCUGAGCCAGCUUGGGCAUCCAGGAGGAGGAGGCACCAGAACUGAGGUCUGAAGGGUGGGUAGGAGUGAGCUAGGGGGUCACAUCCAGGCUGAAGAACCCGGCCACCCAGAGACCCCUCGCAGAGAGAGGACAUCCACUUGUCCGACAGUCCACUCAGUUAUUUGGGCAUUCUGUUCUAGACAGCUAAGUUAGGUCGGAUAUUCUAGGUGGUCACAGGACUAGGCCCUUGAGGGAGUCAGGGCAAAGAUGAAAACAC